GAUGAACGCUGGCGGCGUGCCUAAUACAUGCAAGUCGAGCGAACAGACGAGGAGCUUGCUCGUCUGACGUUAGCGGCGGACGGGUGAGUAACACGUGGAUAACCUACCUAUAAGACUGGGAUAACUUCGGGAAACCGGAGCUAAUACCGGAUAAUAUAUUGAACCGCAUGGUUCAAUAGUGAAAGACGGUUUUGCUGUCACUUAUAGAUGGAUCCGCGCCGCAUUAGCUAGUUGGUAAGGUAACGACUUACCAAGGCAACGAUGCGUAGCCGACCUGAGAGGGUGAUCGGCCACACUGGAACUGAGACACGGUCCAGACUCCUACGGGAGGCAGCAGUAGGGAAUCUUCCGCAAUGGGCGAAAGCCUGACGGAGCAACGCCGCGUGAGUGAUGAAGGUCUUCGGAUCGUAAAACUCUGUUAUUAGGGAAGAACAAAUGUGUAAGUAACUAUGCACGUCUUGACGGUACCUAAUCAGAAAGCCACGGCUAACUACGU
rnacentral:rRNA from 1 species